CCCAAACAUGUAGUGUCCAGCAGUGGAGGUGGAGGUUCCUACAAUAUAGGAUCCGCUCAGUGGAGAUCUUCUAUAUAAGGUCCCGUCAAUGAUGUAUAGGGACAGGGACAAGAUGGCGGAUAGUAUAAUAAAUCUCACCCUAGAGAUCCUCUUCUGGCUUACUGGAGAGGACUACACAGUAGUGAAGAA